GAUCCUGGCUCAGGAUGAACGCUAGCGACAGGCUAACACAUGCAAGUCGAGGGGCAGCAUAAAAGUAGCAAUACUUGGUGGCGACCGGCGCACGGGUGAGUAACGCGUAUGCAACCUACCUAUCAGAGGGGAAUAACCCGGCGAAAGUCGGACUAAUACCGCAUAAAACAGGGGCACCGCAUGGUGAUAUUUGUUAAAGAAAUUCGCUGAUAGAUGGGCAUGCGUUCCAUUAGGUAGUUGGUGAGGUAACGGCUCACCAAGCCGACGAUGGAUAGGGGAACUGAGAGGUUGGUCCCCCACACUGGUACUGAGACACGGACCAGACUCCUACGGGAGGCAGCAGUGAGGAAUAUUGGUCAAUGGGCGGGAGCCUGAACCAGCCAAGUCGCGUGAAAGGAAGAAGGAUCUAUGGUUCGUAAACUUCUUUUGCAGGGGAAUAAAGUGCAGGACGUGUCCUGUUUUGUAUGUACCCUGAGAAUAAGGAUCGGCUAACUCCGUGCCAGCAGCGGC
rnacentral:rRNA from 1 species